rnacentral:lncRNA from 13 species
GCACCGCAUCCUCAGGGAUUGUCCCUGCCGGAGCUGCCUCCUGCACCGCAUCCUCAGGGACUGUCCCAGCCGGGGCUGCCUCCUGCACCUCAUCCUCUAGCACUCGCACAUCGGCCGGGGGUGCCUCCUGCACAGCCUCCUCGGGGACUGUCCCCGCUGGGGCUUCCUCCCGCACUUGAUCCUCUGGGAAUGUCCCCACUGGGGCUGUCACUGCAGCCUCCUCGGGCUCUCUUCCCUCUGGGACCGCCUGUCUCAGCGCCUCUCCGGCCUCUGUCCUCGAUGGCGCCUCUGCCUCUCCGGGCUCUGCUUCUGCCUCUGCUUCUCCGCGCUCUGUCCCCGCCGGGGCUGUCGCCGCAGCCUUCUCGGGCUCUGUCCCCGCCGGUGCCACCGCCUCUCCCUCGGGCUCUGCCCUGGCCGGCGCGGAGCCCUCGGGCCCGUCCAUCACCCCCGCGGCCCCCGGCUCCCCGCCCGGCUGCCCCUCGUGCCCCGGGCUGUCCCCGCCGGGGUCCCGCUGCUCCGCGCUCGGUGUCCCCGGGCUCUCCGCCGCGCCGUCGAGGGAGCCGCUGUCCCGGGGGGGUUCCGCCGCCUCCGCGCUCAGGCGCGGCCCCUCCGCGGGCCCGUCCGGGGGCUCGGCCGCCCCCUCGGGGCACAGCCCGGGCGGAGCCCCCGCCGCCGCCUCGUCCUCGGCCCCCUCCCGCGGCACAUCGCUGCGCUCCGGGGGCCGGCCCGGGCUCUCCGCCAUGCCGGGCUGCCCGGGAGCGCCGGGACGCGCGGGACGAGCCGGAGCAGCGCAGCGGCCGCGGAGCAGCGCGGGCACUGCCGGGGGGGAACGGGGGCGGUGCCUGCGCGGGGCCCGGGGCGGCGGGGCCGGGGCCGCGCUCCUCCCCCGCUCCGGCAGAGCCCCUGCCCCGGCCCCUGCCCCGGCCCGCCGCUCCUGCCCGCCCGGACCCUGCCCAGCCACGCUCGGGAGCGCGACAGCGGCACCGAGCGCUGCCCCCGGCCACCCCCGCCCCGCAGGGACCGGAGCCUUGGCAGAGUGCCCCAAAAUCCCCUUUGGGUGUGUUUGCGUCCCCUGCAGCGGCUCUCGCACCUGCCCGGCGCUCCGCUCGCACCCCAAACCCCGUUCCUGCCCUGCUUUGCCCCCGGCGGGGUGUCCCUGGCACUGCUGUCCCCAGCCCCAGCCUGGCACACACCCGCGGGCAGGGGCGGCUGGGGCUUUGCUGGCCUCAGGUGCCAUUUUCCACAUCAGGUAUAGGAAGACACGCUCUGAACACCCACACGGCUGCUGAUGCACCGGAACUGGCCCAGCCCCGGUGGUCUCCCCCGGUUUGUUAAAAAUACGGAUGAAGCCUAUUCGGGCUGCUCCAGUCGUUGUUAGAAAGGGAAAUGUGUCCUUAUCAGCUCGCAGAAGUUGUAAAAGGGAACAACAAAACACUCUGUGUAUAGGAAUAAACACCUAGAUUUGCUUGCUUUUAAGUGGUUUUCCUUCAUGUGCGAGGAUCCUCUGCGAGUUUCCAUUUAAAUGGGGUGAGAAACUCCGCGUUCUGUGCAGAGCCGGCAGCUGCUGUGGAAGAAGUAAUAACUUUUCCUUCGGGUAAGGAAAAUAAUCCUAAUUUUCUAGGUGCAGACAGAACAGUGGAGGCAGAGUUGGCUGUCAGGAGUGAGGUAUCCUAAUUAAAAAACCCCAACAGUUGAACAGUUUUAUAUUUGUGUAUAUAAACCCACUUUUUAUAUUUGAGAGGGGACAGAGCAGGGACAGAACACAGCGAUUUGGAAUGGGUGUGAAGGGGGAAGAUGCAGCCAACCAGAGCGGGGAAAUUCUACAGAAUAAAUCAUUCCAGCAGGUCAAACACCCUGCCCCGAUAAAAAAUAAACAGCCAAAUAAAUGAACAGUCCUGCAGCUGCUUGAUGCUCGCCCAGAGCUGCAUUGCAAGUGAGACAAAAGAAUGGAGGCAGCUGUGCUCAGAAGAAACGUUCCUGGAAGAUUUAGGAACAGAGGCUUGUGAGGAUUUAGGAGCAGGGGCUCAGCACCUGACAAUGGAGGCCUUGCAGGUGGAACCAUCCUGAGGCAGUGAUUUCCUUAUCUCUUAUGGGGUUUGAUAUCAGUAGAAUGACACAACUCGGCCAUCUCUGCAGAGAUAGUAUUGGUUUGUUCAUCCUCAUGUUGGCUGAAGGGUUCUUAACCUUUGGCCUGAAGGUUGGACAGAUCAGAGAAUUCCAGAAGGGUUUGGGUUGGAAAGGACAUUAAAAAUCAUCUUGUUCCACGGGCAGGGACAACUUCUGUCUCUUAUACACAUCUAGAUGUGUAUAAGAGACAGGUGCCAGGCUGCUCCAAGCCCCAAUGUCCAGCCUGGCCUUGGGCACUGCCAGGGAUCCAGGGGCAGCCCCAGCUGCUCUGGGCACCCUGUGCCAGGGCCUGCCCACCCUCCCAGGGAACAAUUCCUGCCCAAUCUCCCAUCCAGCCCUGCCCUCUGGCACUGGGAAGCCAUUCCCUGGCUCCUGGCCCUCCAUGCCUUGGGAAUUGUCUCUCUCCAGCUUUCCUGCAGCUCCUUCAGGCCCUGCAAGGCCACACUGAGCUCAGCCCAAAGCUUCUCCUCUCCAGGCUGAACAAUGCCAG